rnacentral:rRNA from 1 species
UGGGGAAUUUUGCACAAUGGGGGAAACCCUGAUGCAGCGACGCCGCGUGAUUUAGAAGGCCUUCGGGUUGUAAAAAUCUUUUCUAUGGGAAGAAAAUGACAGUACCAUAGGAAUAAGGACCGGCUAAUUACGUGCCAGCAGCCGCGGUAAUACGUAAGGUCCGAGCGUUGUCCGGAAUCAUUGGGCGUAAAGGGUACGUAGGCGGGUAAGCAAGUUAGAAGUGAAAUCCUAUAGCUCAACUAUAGUAAGCUUUUAAAACUGCUCAUCUUGAGGUAUGGAAGGGAAAGUGGAAUUCCUAGUGUAGCGGUGAAGUGCGCAGAUAUUAGGAGGAAUACCGGUGGCGAAGGCGACUUUCUGGCCAUAACCUGACGCUGAGGUACGAAAGCGUGGGUAGCAAAGAGG